AGGCGACGAUCAGUAGGGGUUCUGAGAGGAAGGUCCCCCACAUUGGAACUGAGACACGGUCCAAACUCUUACGGGAGGCAGCAGUGAGGAAUAUUGGUCAAUGGGCGAGAGCCUGAACCAGCCAAGUAGCGUGCAGGAUGACGGCCCUAUGGGUUGUAAACUGCUUUUAUAAGGGAAUAAAGUGAGUCUCGUGAGACUUUUUGCAUGUACCUUAUGAAUAAGGACCGGUUAAUUCCGUGCCAGCAGCCGCGGUAAUACGGAAGGUCCGGGCGUUAUCCGGAUUUAUUGGGUUUAAAGGGAGCGUAGGCCGGAGAUUAAGCGUGUUGUGAAAUGUAGACGCUCAACGUCUGCACUGCAGCGCGAACUGGUUUCCUUGAGUACGCACAAAGUGGGCGGAAUUCGUGGUGUAGCGGUGAAAUGCUUAGAUAUCACGAAGAACUCCGACUGCGAAGGCAGCUCACUGGAGGGCAAAUGACGAUGAAGGAAGAAAGUGCGGGUAUGGAACAGGAUUAGAUAACGAAAUAGUUAUCACGGGGAAAGAUGUUUCACUCAGGAU
rnacentral:rRNA from 2 species